UACGGGGGGGGCAAGCGGUUGUUCGGAAUUACUGGGCGUAAAGGGCUCGUAGGCGGCCAACUAAGUCGGAUGUGAAAUCCCCAAGCUUAACUUGGGAACUGCAUCCGAUACUGGAUGGCUUGAAUCCGGGAGAGGGAUGCAGAAUUCCAGGUGUAGCGGUGAAAUGCGUAGAUAUCUGGAGGAACACCGGUGGCGAAGGCGGCAUCCUGGACCGGUAUUGACGCUGAGGCGCGAAAGCCAGGGGGAGCAAACGGG
rnacentral:rRNA from 1 species